rnacentral:hammerhead_ribozyme from 1 species
AUCCAGACGACGAGUUGAAAAUAAGACGAAACACACGUCCUGAAU